UGCAGGGCCCUCUUUUUCUCUUCCUAAAGUUUCUCCCAAGAACACAGAGUCUCUCUCUCUCUCUGUUCUGAGACACCUAAAGCUGGGGCUGGUAUGAUGUAUGAUACAAGCACCCCUAUGACCACCACCACCACCACUUCAGGUACUGGGUCACACCUGAAGCAAGCACAGUGCUGGGUCUUGCCCAAGGCCUGCCUUAAUCACUCCUUGGCUAUAGCCUAUAUUCACUCAAGGCCCUGGGGCUCUACAAUUGGCAGGUAGAAAAGUCGGCUGGGCCUGUGUCCUUCUCUUCAGGGUGGCAAAGUCCCCCUGGCCACCAGUGGGUCCACAGAUGCCAUAGAGGAGUCAGGGACUAGAGUCAAAAAACUUAGAAAUCUACUUGGCAUUCUGUUGUACUGUGGCUGAGCUGGCACUCAAACCACAAGACACAAUCCUUCCCACUCUUUCCACUUUUUCCCCUUUCCAAAAGCUGAGGAGCCUUACCCCGUAGCCACCGCCACACCUGGCCAUGAGGAGUACUGCCAAAGUACCACCGAUGUUCCCUUAAGGACCAAAGGCUCUUAUAUCAGCUUGUGGUGAAUGCUGCCUGGCCUGGGACUCACCCGUCAGGGCAGUGGGCUCCCCUUUGGCCAAGGGCAGGUCUAGAAAUGCUGUCCAAGAGUCAAGUCCUAGAAUUGGGAACCCAAAAGCCCACUUGGUGCUCUACCCCACAGUGGUGGUGUUGGUACCUAAGAUGCAAAACAAAGUCCCCUUUACUCUUCCUUCUGUUUUUAUCAAGUGGAAGGAGUUUUGCCCCAUAGCCACCACAGCUGGUAAUGUGCAUAGUCUCACCUGAAGCCAACAAGUCUCAGAAGCUCACCAAGGUCCUCAACGUAGUACCCGGGUAUCACUGCUGGUUAUUCAGGACCCAAGGGCUCUUCAGUUAGCAGAUGAUGAAUGCUGCCAGGACUGGGUCCUUUCCUUCAAGGCAGUGGGUUUCCUUCUGGCUCAGGGUGUAUCUAGAAAUGUCAUCCCAGAGCUAGAGCCUGGAACAAGGGCCUCAUGACCUCAAGGUGCCCUGUCCUUCUGUGGCAGAGCUGAUAAGCAAGAUGCAAGACAAACUCCUCCCAACUCUUCCCUCUCCUCUUCUCAAGUGGAAGGAAGGGGUUUCUUUUGGAUCCACAAGCUGUGCAGUCUCAGGUUAGGGGAGAGGUGAUGCCAACAUUCCCUUAGCUGCCCCAGCUGGUAUCUCAGUAUGUCCCAUGCCACUUCAGUCCAUUGUCUUUGGGCCUAGUUCAGCACUAGGACUCACCUAUGAGGUGCAGUCCUUAUGGCCUAGACUACCUUUCCAAUUUACUUAGACAACAAGAGCACUGUGGCCUUUGGUACUGAGGUUUGCGGGCAGUCAGGUUUGGACUGCUGGUAUCAGUGAUUGCCCUCUGGCUAAGGCUGGUUGACAUGCCUUCUUUUGUGUGGACUUCAGCUUAGUUUGGUCAGGUUUUCCUUUUUGCUGCAACAAAAUGGCACUGAGUUCAGUGCCUCACAAUUGCUCUGUUCUCCCUUCACCAGCACCCAGAGGUGCUCUUGGCACCAAGCCACACUGCUGGGGUCAGGGAGGGGUGGCAUCGGAGACUCGGAACUGUUUUUCUGUCUUUUCAGUGUCUCUUUCAGUGAUACGAGGUUAAAACGAGGUACUGUGAGUGCUCACCUGAUUUUUAGCUCUUAGGAAGAUGCUUUUUCCUGUGUAGUUGUUUGUUAACUUAGUAUCCUUGUGGUAGGGGUAGGAGGAUGAUCUGUGGAGUUUUCUGUUCUGCCGUCUUGUCUCACCUCCCUCCUAAAAAAAUAUUCUUAAAUGAGAUUGUAAUGUUUAUAUGAACUUGCACGAAGACAGACGUCUUGUGCUUGGAUCCUGGGUCUCUUACCGGUUUUGUAACAUUCUUCAACAUACUUAUAACUCUGUGCCUAUGAUGCCUUCUCUGUAAAAUGAAGAUAAGAAUAGUGUCAUAAUGGAUGUAAAACCUUUAAAACAGGACUAAACGCCAUGUAAGGUUAGGUGGUGGUAUUGUUACUAUUUAUCUUAUUUAUAUCAUAUUCUGUGGUGACCUGUCCGUAUUUGCGAAUACCUUUCAGUGAUAGGAAAUUAAUUCUACUUCUUGAUCCUAAUUCUACUCCCUGUCUGUUCCUAAUCUUGUUUUCCUUUGCUUCCUCUUUUCUCAUCUACUCAUAUUUUAUGCCUUCCUUCAUGCUUUACAUAACUUGUAGCCACCUUCAGUGUUUUUUUGGAAUAAAGUAGUGUAUGCAUACAUACAUAUAAAUCUUUGUUCCUAGAAUUUAGCACUGUUAGUGCAUGGUCUUUAUCUUGGAUGUUCAUAUAUUCUAGUUCCCAGAACAGUAACUUCUAGACCUUAAUAAAUUAUUUAUUGAAUGAACAAAGGAAUUAAUUACUUUGAAUUUGUGAGGUGUUGUAUAUGAUUAUUAUUUUAUUCCUAAAUCUUAUCAUUCUUUAGACCAAAAGGAUAUCCAGUUUGACAGUGUUCUUUUUUAAGAAUGAUGCUUAUAACUGAAUAUAAUAGUUCUUAUGGGAUUCGAUCAACAGAGAGUAACAGAGUAUUAUUAUGUUAUUUUAUUCUGUGUGUAUUUGUCUAUUACUGUACUUAAAAUACCAAACGGGAGGGGCAGUAUGACUUUGGACUCAUUUGCCAUAAUAUUGAAGUCAAAUGUGUUGCUGUUAAAUCAGCUUUCUUUACCCAAUUCACAUUUGUGCU
rnacentral:lncRNA from 1 species